GCGACGCCGCGUGAACGAUGAAGUCCUUCGGGAUGUAAAGUUCUGUCAGCAGGGACAAUAAUGAUGGUACCUGCAGAGGAAGGCCCGGCAAACUAUGUGCCAGCAGCCGCGGUAAUACAUAGGGGCCAAGCGUUGUCCGGAUUUACUGGGCGUAAAGGGCUCGUAGGCGGCAAUCUAAGUCGGAAUUAAAAGGCAGGGGCUUAACCCCUGUUCGGUUUCGAAACUGGAUCGCUAGAGAUUUGGAGAGGAAAGCGGAAUUAACAGUGUAGCGGUGAAAUGCGUAGAUAUUGUUAAGAACACCCGUGGCGAAGGCGGCUUUCUGGCCAAAAUCUGACGCUGAGGAGCGAAAGCGUGGGUAGCAAACAGGAUUAGAUACCCUGGUAGUCCACGCCGUAAACGAUGUACAUUAGGUAUGGGAGGUAUCGACCCCUUCUGUGCCGCAGCUAACGCGUUAAAUGUACCGCCUGGGGAGUACGGUCGCAAGAUUAAAACUCAAAGGAAUUGACGGGGGCCCGCACAAGCAGUGGAUUAUGUGGUUUAAUUCGACGAUACCCGAAGAACCUUACCAGAACUUGACAUCUGGGGAAGACUCUGGAAGCAGAGAUGUGCCCGCAAGGGAACCCCAAGACAGGUGGUGCAUGGUUGUCGUCAGCUCGUGUCGUGAGAUGUUAGGUUAAGUCCUGCAACGAGCGCAACCCUCGUGCUGUGUUACUACAUUUAGUUGAGUACUCUCAGCAGACUGCCCGUGGCAAACGGGAGGAAGGUGGGGAUGACGUCAAAUCAUCAUGCCCUUUAUGUUCUGGGCUACACACAUAAUACAAUGGUCGGUACAAAGGGAAGCCAACCCGCAAGGGGGAGCAAAUCUCAAAAAACCGGCCUCAGUUCAGAUUGUAGGCUGCAACUCGCCUGCAUGAAGAUGGAAUUGCUAGUAAACGCAGAUCAGAAUGCUGCGUUGAAUACGUUCCCGGGCCUUGUACACACCGCCCGUCACACCAUGAAAGCCGGAAAUAUCCGAAGUAAGUGAGCCAACCGCAAGGAAGCAGCUUCCUAAGAUAGAGCCGGUGAUUGGGGUGAAGUCGUAACAAGGUAGCCGUACCGGAAGGUG
rnacentral:rRNA from 1 species